GAUGAAGAACGUAGCGAAAUGCGAUACGUAAUGUGAAUUGCAGAUUUCAGUGAAUCAUCGAAUCUUUGAACGCACAUUGCGCCCGCCAGUAUUCUGGCGGGCAUGCCUGUUCGAGCGUCAUUUCAACCAUCAAGCGCCUGCGCUUGUGUUGGAGCCCUGCGGCUGCCGCAGGCUCCCAAACCCAGUGGCGGGCUCGUCGUCGUACCGAGUGCAGUAAACUUACCACGCUCAGGGAACGCGGCGGGUGACCGGCCGUAAAACCCCCAAACUUAUCAAGGUUGACCUCGGAUCAGGUAGGAAUACCCGCUGAACUUAAGCAUAUCAAUAAGCGGAGGA
rnacentral:misc_RNA from 1 species